rnacentral:lncRNA from 1 species
GAUUUACCAGGUUGACAACGUGCUUCUUCCUAUGUCCAUUGUCGGUAAUCCCAAGGCCGUGGAGGCGGCGGGACCUGUGCCGGCGGCGGAAGCGAGUAGUAGCGCGGAGGGAGAUGCUGCUGACGACGACAAUGGUGAUGAUGAUGGGAGCGACGAUGGGGUGAGCAAGAAGCGUGUUUCGGGUGCAGUUGGGGCUAAUGUUAAUGUGUUUAUGGGAUUCGUUUGUGCUGCUCUUUUGAUCUUGGGUUUCGCUAUGUGAUUCGUGAGUGCCAUGCAUAUUAAGAUGUGUAAUUGUGUUAUUUGUGGCGAGGAUUGAAUUUGAAGAAUGAGAAUUUCAUUACUGUCGGGUAAAAUUAAUUGAUUAUCCAAAUCGGUUAAUUUUUUUAACCUACGGACCAGUCCUAAUGGUUAAAUAACCGACCGUUAACCGAGCCUACGGUUAAUUCACCGAUUCUUAACCGAACGAUUAAUCAGUUAACCCAAAUUAAC